CAGCCAUCAAAAGCUAAUCCGAAACUAAAUUGGAACAAUACAGAAAAGAUUAGCAUGGCUCUUGCACAAGAAUGACAUCCGCAAAUUAAUGAACUAAAUUAGUUAUAU